AUUUUCUUAUCUUGAACUUUUAUGUAAACAAGGUUUUGUGCCUUCACUGUAAAGCAGCUAAGCAUGGAUGCUGACUUCGGACCAUUUGCCAUUCGUCGGUGUUUCUUGGAUCAGAUGUAUUAUGUGACGGUAUUCAGAAGUUCGAUAGCCUGUGGUGUUUUCUGCCCUUUGUGAAAAAGGCCCUCCUCGAUAUUACCUUAAAUUCAUCAACAUCAAGCUAAACAUUGAUCCUGUAUUACGGGUACAUCGGUCUCGUGCGAACAUCAAUUGCUACACCACACAGACAGCGCAUGGUACACAUUUGAACAAUCGUCGCUUCAGAGUUUUUUACGUCUACUUGAUAACUCUGUAUCAUUUUCAUGCUCAUAUCAAUUUGACAAAUCUUGAUAUUUUUAAACACGAAAUACUAAUCUUAGGUUUGACGAUUUGUAAAUUAUAGGUUACGGUUAAGGUCGUUUUAUCAGUUUUUCUUAUUAUAGUCUCCUUAAGUUCAAGGGCAUCAUAUUUCAUUCUUAUGAAUAAUGCGAUAUUUUCUUCCUGGAACAGAAAACAAAAUUUAUGCGUCUUCGUUGCAUUGUAUUUGAUUCAAGGCCGGCGGAGCGCAUUGUGUGUUAUUUAUUUAUCAGUGCGUCAUGGCAAUACAAUGUCACUUUUAAAGUGACUUUUGCCUUGCCUUGUUAUCUAAAAUGUAAACAAAAUCAUGAUAAUGCAUAUUAUUUAAGACAGUUAUAGCUUCAAGACUACAGUGUACAAAAUUGAAGAAUAACCAUCGUAUGGAACGCAGGUGCAUUAUGGAAGGCCGGUGCGCCCAGGCUAAUUGCGAAAUGCUAAAUGACAAAUAUUUAAUGCUAAAUGCCAAUUACUUUAUGCUAAAUGUCAUAUAUUUAAUGCAGAAUUGCUAAAUGCUACUUACCAAAUGCUCUACGCCAUAUACUUGAUGAUAAAUGUCAAAUGCUAAAUGUCAGAUAGCUAAUGCUAAUAAUAAAAUGAUAAAUGCUAAUCAUCACAUUCUUUAACGUAUUGACCUGAAUCUCUUAAACUAAUGACUGUAACUUUUAAUUAUGUCAAAACAUAUAAUGUUCUACAAAUCUAAAUUGAAGCAAUAACUUGUUCCACAUAUGGUGAGAACAUGGGACCGAGACCUUUUACUCUAAAAUAUUUAGAAACAAGUUUUUAACAGAUACAAAGUAAUGUAACGAAGGUCAAUGACUUCUAAAUAAUUCAUUCAUUCACUGAUAUAUUUAGCUCUUUAUUUGAAUAAGCAUUUAGCAAUAAGUGUGUGUCAUAUAUUGCUAAACAAUUAGCAUUUAUCAGAUGACAAUUGCCGUUUGACAGUCAAAAUUUGACAUUAAGCAUCAAUGCUAAUAGCAUACUCAUAUACUUUACUGAGUAACAUACUUAGAAACUAGAAAGAAGCUUAACAAAAUGUUCAUAACUGGGUCACGGUGAGGAUGCGUACACCGGAUAUUGCCAUUUAGUGAUAAGGUAUUUUUCGAAAACGUGUUUAUUUUUCGUCAACAAGAUUCAACUUGUGUAUGUGUGUUUAUGACUGGCUCGACGAACAAAUUUAAGGACAUUGUAUGUCAUUUUGUUGAACACCACCCAGAUGACGAGAAUAUAUUCGUAUGCUAACGACCAAAACCGCAAAAAAGUAAAUUACAAGAUAGCACCAGACAUAUGCAGAGAAAAAAAAAGCAGAAAAAAGUACUGUUGAUUCAGAAAAUAUUAACAUACAUGUUUUAAAAAGGAACCCGAUUACAAACGGGACCAAUUUGCAACAGAAAGAAACCUUUGAUUUGGGCAAAUAGUGAGGAGCCUGUUCACUGACUGUAGUGGAAAUGUAUGCUACCUACCACGCCAUCUAGCUCAAUAUUUACACAAUGCUUCCAGUACAAAAAUAUAACCUAGAGACACAUAUACGGCGGUGUACAUGGAACUUUCAAUGUUACACAGGGUGCAAUUCCUUGGACAGACAAGGUUUUCGGACAGUAUUGUUACACAGUCUAUGAAAGAAUGUGACAAAAUAGAUGAAUGAAUAAAUAGCCUUUAAUCAGUUUGUUUGCCAAGAAACGUUUUCUUUAACUGAUUUUAUAGUUUCCUAUAUUUUUUGACGUCGCAAAAUGUUUUCAUCGACAACUUGGUUAAUAUGAGGUAUAGUGAAGACUGCAAGUUGUUUUGAAGUACAGGCUUAUAACUCUUCCAAUGAAAUUACAAUUAUACAACAGCUUGCAUAACAGAGACCGCAUUUCUGCCGCUAAAUUAAGAGGAAAGAGAAAAGCAAACAGACAAAUACUUAUUGACAUUAAAAGAAGUAGCUAGUAACUGCAUAAAUGUGAUGAGUGUACAUUACUUCCACAUAAGACUGGGCAUUGAUACUGAAAUAGGUUCUGUUGUAACAGAUUUAUUUUACCAAACAUUAUUCGACAAGCAAUAUUGUAAAAGCCAUGUUUUACUUUGAUAAAGAACAAAUAGUCAUGUACAAUGAAAUAUUUAUUAAACAAACUUGAAACCUGGA